rnacentral:rRNA from 1 species
GGUUAAGCGACUAAGCGUACACGGUGGAUGCCCUGGCAGUCAGAGGCGAUGAAGGACGUGCUAAUCUGCGAAAAGCGCCGGCGAGGUGAUAUGAACCUUUGACCCGGCGAUGUCCGAAUGGGGAAACCCAGUGUGUUUCGACACACUAUCGUUAACUGAAUACAUAGGUUAACGAGGCGAACCGGGGGAACUGAAACAUCUAAGUACCCCGAGGAAAAGAAAUCAACCGAGAUUCCCCCAGUAGCGGCGAGCGAACGGGGAGCAGCCCGGAGUCUGAAUCAGCUUGUGUGUUAGUGGAACGGUCUGGAAAGUCCGACGGUACAGGGUGAUAGUCCCGUACACGAAAAUGCACAGGUUGUGAACUCGAAGAGUAGGGCGGGACACGUGGUAUCCUGUCUGAAUAUGGGGGGACCAUCCUCCAAGGCUAAAUACUCCUGACUGACCGAUAGUGAACCAGUACCGUGAGGGAAAGGCGAAAAGAACCCCGGCGAGGGGAGUGAAAAAGAACCUGAAACCGUGUACGUACAAGCAGUGGGAGCCUACUUGUUAGGUGACUGCGUACCUUUUGUAUAAUGGGUCAGCGACUUAUAUUCUGUAGCAAGGUUAACCGUAUAGGGGAGCCGAAGGGAAACCGAGUCUUAACUGGGCGUUAAGUUGCAGGGUAUAGACCCGAAACCCGGUGAUCUAGCCAUGGGCAGGUUGAAGGUUGGGUAACACUAACUGGAGGACCGAACCGACUAAUGUUGAAAAAUUAGCGGAUGACCUGUGGCUGGGGGUGAAAGGCCAAUCAAACCGGGAGAUAGCUGGUUCUCCCCGAAAGCUAUUUAGGUAGCGCCUCGUGAACUCAUCUUCGGGGGUAGAGCACUGUUUCGGCUAGGGGGCCAUCCCGGCUUACCAACCCGAUGCAAACUACGAAUACCGAAGAAUGUUAUCACGGGAGACACACGGCGGGUGCUAACGUCCGUCGUGAAGAGGGAAACAACCCAGACCGCCAGCUAAGGUCCCAAAGUCAUGGUUAAGUGGGAAACGAUGUGGGAAGGCACAGACAGCCAGGAUGUUGGCUUAGAAGCAGCCAUCAUUUAAAGAAAGCGUAAUAGCUCACUGGUCGAGUCGGCCUGCGCGGAAGAUGUAACGGGGCUAAACCAUGCACCGAAGCUGCGGCAGCGACACUAUGUGUUGUUGGGUAGGGGAGCGUUCUGUAAGCCGUUGAAGGUGGCCUGUGAGGGUUGCUGGAGGUAUCAGAAGUGCGAAUGCUGACAUAAGUAACGAUAAAGCGGGUGAAAAGCCCGCUCGCCGGAAGACCAAGGGUUCCUGUCCAACGUUAAUCGGGGCAGGGUGAGUCGACCCCUAAGGCGAGGCCGAAAGGCGUAGUCGAUGGGAAACAGGUUAAUAUUCCUGUACUUGGUGUUACUGCGAAGGGGGGACGGAGAAGGCUAUGUUAGCCGGGCGACGGUUGUCCCGGUUUAAGCAUGUAGGCGGAGGUUCCAGGUAAAUCCGGUACCUUAUUAACGCUGAGGUGUGAUGACGAGGCACUACGGUGCUGAAGUAACAAAUGCCCUGCUUCCAGGAAAAGCCUCUAAGCAUCAGGUAACACGAAAUCGUACCCCAAACCGACACAGGUGGUCAGGUAGAGAAUACCAAGGCGCUUGAGAGAACUCGGGUGAAGGAACUAGGCAAAAUGGUGCCGUAACUUCGGGAGAAGGCACGCUGAUAUGUAGGUGAAGCCCCUGCGGGUGGAGCUGAAAUCAGUCGAAGAUACCAGCUGGCUGCAACUGUUUAUUAAAAACACAGCACUGUGCAAACACGAAAGUGGACGUAUACGGUGUGACGCCUGCCCGGUGCCGGAAGGUUAAUUGAUGGGGUUAGCGGCAACGCGAAGCUCUUGAUCGAAGCCCCG